CGGAUUAUUGGGCGUAAGAGCUCGUAGGCGGUUUGUCGCGUCUGCCGUGAAAGUCCGGGGCUCAACUCCGGAUCUGCGGUGGGUACGGGCAGACUAAAGUGAUGUAGGGGAGACUGGAAUUCCUGGUGUAGCGGUGAAAUGCGCAGAUAUCAGGAGGAACACCGAUGGCGAAGGCAGGUCUCUGGGCAUUAACUGACGCUGAGGAGCGAAAGCAUGGGGAGCGAACAGGAUUAGAUACCCUGGUAGUCCAUGCCGUAAACGUUGGGCACUAGGUGUGGGGGACAUUCCACGUUUUCCGCGCCGUAGCUAACGCAUUAAGUGCCCCGCCUGGGGAGUACGGCCGCAAGGCUAAAACUCAAAGGAAUUGACGGGGGCCCGCACAAGCGGCGGAGCAUGCGGAUUAAUUCGAUGCAACGCGAAGAACCUUACCAAGGCUUGACAUGGACCGGACCGCCGCAGAAAUGUGGUUUCCCCUUUGGGGCCGGUUCACAGGUGGUGCAUGGUUGUCGUCAGCUCGUGUCGUGAGAUGUUGGGUUAAGUCCCGCAACGAGCGCAACCCUCGUUCUAUGUUGCCAGCGCGUGAUGGCGGGGACUCAUAGGAGACUGCCGGGGUCAACUCGGAGGAAGGUGGGGACGACGUCAAAUCAUCAUGCCCCUUAUGUCUUGGGCUUCACGCAUGCUACAAUGGCCGGUACAAAGGGUUGCGAUACUGUGAGGUGGAGCUAAUCCCAAAAAGCCGGUCUCAGUUCGGAUUGGGGUCUGCAACUCGACCCCAUGAAGUCGGAGUCGCUAGUAAUCGCAGAUCAGCAACGCUGCGGUGAAUACGUUCCCGGGCCUUGUACACACCGCCCGUCAAGUCACGAAAGUUGGUAACACCCGAAGCCGGUGGCCUAACCCCUUGUGGGAGGAGCUGUCGA
rnacentral:rRNA from 1 species